rnacentral:rRNA from 1 species
CAGAGACAUGAUGGGGAGUUAAAGGAGACUUUGACGAACUCAUGGAUCCCACACUGCCAAGAAAAACUUCUAGCGAGACGAAAUCCGCCCGUACCGUAAACCGACACAGGUAGGCGGGGAGAGAAUCCUAAGGUGCGCGGGAAAACCCUCGUUAAGGAACUCGGCAAAUUGCAUCCGUAACUUCGGGAGAAGGAUGACCCUGAGUAGGCGAAAGGGAGAAACCCCCGGAACAGAAAAGGGUGGCAGAAAAGAGGCCCAAGCAACUGUUUACCAAAAACACAGGUGCCUGCGAAAGCGAAAGCUGAAGUAUAGGUGCUGACGCCUGCCCGGUGCUGGAAGGUUAAGGAGAGAGGUCUGCGAAAGCGAAGCUUUGAACUGAAGCCCCAGUGAACGGCGGCCGUAACCAUAACGGUCCUAAGGUAGCGAAAUUCCUUGUCGGGUAAGUUCCGACCCGCAUGAAAGGCGUAAUGAUUUGGGCACUGUCUCAACGAGGGGCCCGGUGAAAUUGAAAUACCUGUGAAGAUGCAGGUUACCCGCGACUGGACAGAAAGACCCCAUGGAGCUUCACUGCAGCUUGAGAUUGAAUCCCGGUGACAUAUGCACAGGAUAGGUGGGAGGCUAAGAAGUAAUGCCUUUGGGUGUUACAGAGCCGAUGUUGGGAUACCACCCUUAUGUUGCUGAGAUUCUAACACGGAGACUAACAACCUCGUGGACCAUCUCAGGCAGGCGGUUUGACUGGGGCGGUCGCCUCCUAAAAUGUAACGGAGGCGCCCAAAGGUUCCCUCAGGCCGGACAGAAACCGGCCGAAGAGUGCAAAGGCAGAAGGGAGCUUGACUGCGAGACAGACAAGUCGAGCAGAGACGAAAGUCGGGCUUAGUGAUCCGGUGGUACUGAGUGGAAAGGCCAUCGCUCAACGGAUAAAAGCUACCCUGGGGAUAACAGGCUAAUCUCUCCCAAGAGUUCAUAUCGACGGGGAGGUUUGGCACCUCGAUGUCGGCUCAUCACAUCCUGGAGCUGGAGUAGGUUCCAAGGGUUGGGCUGUUCGCCCAUUAAAGUGGUACGCGAGCUGGGUUCAAAACGUCGUGAGACAGUUUGGUUCAUAUCCAUCGCGGGCGCAAGAAGUUUGAGGGAGGCUGCUCCUAGUACGAGAGGACCGGAGUGGACGGAUCAACGGUGUACCAGUUGUCACGCCAGGCGCACCGCUGGGUAGC